CCCUUAGAUGUUCUGGGCUGCACGCGUGCUACACUGAUAUUGCCAAUAUGUCAUUCUUAUCCGAAAUGGAUUGGGUAAUCAAGUAAUGAAAUUUCAUGCUUGGAAUCGGUAAUUGCAAUUUUAUCGUGAACGAGGAAUUCCUAGUAAACGCGAGUCAUCAGCUCGCAUUGAUUACGUCCCUGCCCUUUGUACACACCGCCCGUCGCACCUACCGAUUGAAUGGUUCGGUGAAGAUCUCGGACUUCGAUAUUUAUUCUUUAUUGAGUUUAUAUUGUGGGAAGUUAUCUAAACCUCAUCAUUUAGAGGAAGGUGAAGUCGUAACA
rnacentral:rRNA from 1 species